rnacentral:rRNA from 1 species
GCUGGCGGCAUGGCUAAACAUGCAAGUCGAACGGCAAAGUCGUAGCAAUACGGCGAGUAAGUGGCGUAAGGGUGAGUAAUACGUUUCUAUGUACCCCGAGGUCAGGGAUAGCCUAGGGAAACCUGGGGUAAGACCUGAUGCGGUCACCAUGUCAAAGUGGUGAUCAAAGGCUUGCCGCCUUGGGAGCAGGGAACGUCCUAUCAGGUAGUUGGUGAGGUAACGGCUCACCAAGCCUAAGACGGGUAGCGGGUGUGAGAGCAUGGCCCGCCACAUCGGGACUGAGACACUGCCCGGACUCCUACGGGAGGCUGCAGUAACGAAUCUUCCGCAAUGCGCGAAAGCGUGACGGAGCGAUGCCGCGUGCAGGAUGAAGCCCUUCGGGGUGUAAACUGCUGUCAGGGUUUAGGAACACAAUGACCAAACCCAAAGGAAGAGACGACUAACUCUGUGCCAGCAGCCGCGGUAAUACGUAGGGUGCGAGCGUUAAUCGGAAUUACAGGGCGUAAAGCGUGCGCAGGCGGUUCGAGAAGUCAGCUGUGAAAGCCCCGGGCUUAACCUGGGAAUGGCGGUUGAAACUCUCGGACUAGAAUCUGGCAGAGGGGGGUGGAAUUCCACGUGUAGCAGUGAAAUGCGUAGAGAUGUGGAGGAACACCGAUGGCGAAGGCAGCCCCCUGGGCUGAGAUUGACGCUCAGGCACGAAAGC